rnacentral:rRNA from 1 species
UAGGGAAUCUUCCGCAAUGGACGCAAGUCUGACGGAGCAACGCCGCGUGAGUGAUGAAGGUUUUCGGAUCGUAAAGCUCUGUUGCCAGGGAAGAACAGCGAGGAGAGUAACUGCUCUUCGUGUGACGGUACCUGAGAAGAAAGCCCCGGCUAACUACGUGCCAGCAGCCGCGGUAAUACGUAGGGGGCAAGCGUUGUCCGGAAUUAUUGGGCGUAAAGCGCGCGCAGGCGGCUUUGUAAGUCUGAUGUUUAAGCCCCGGGCUCAACCCGGGCUCGCAUUGGAAACUGCAAGGCUUGAGUGCAGAAGAGGAGAGUGGAAUUCCACGUGUAGCGGUGAAAUGCGUAGAGAUGUGGAGGAACACCAGUGGCGAAGGCGACUCUCUGGGCUGUAACUGACGCUGAGGCGCGAAAGCGUGGGGAGCAAACA